GGCUAUUUUUCAUAUCCUGGAUACUAACCAUUACAAAAAGUUUCCCUACAACAAGAUCACAAAGACAGAUCUACCCUCACCUCAUAAAAUGCUUAAAAGAUACAUAUAAGGUAAUUUUAAAAAUGAUAUGAUAUAUAGGUUUUACUUCAAAAUAAUUCAGAGGAAGAAGGAAUGUAUAUACAUG